rnacentral:rRNA from 1 species
UUUUACAGUGGAGAGUUUGAUCCUGGCUCAGGAUGAACGCUGGCUACAGGCUUAACACAUGCAAGUCGAGGGGAAACGGCAUUGAGUGCUUGCACUGAAUGGACGUCGACCGGCGCACGGGUGAGUAACGCGUAUCCAACCUUCCCGUUACUGCGGGAUAACCUGCCGAAAGGCAGACUAAUACCGCAUGUUCUUCGAUGACGGCAUCAGAUUCGAAGCAAAGAUCCGUCGGUAACGGAGGGGGAUGCGUCUGAUUAGCUGGUUGGCGGGGCGACGGCCCACCAAGGCGACGAUCAGUAGGGGUUCUGAGAGGAAGGUCCCCCACAUUGGAACUGAGACACGGUCCAAACUCCUACGGGAGGCAGCAGUGAGGAAUAUUGGUCAAUGGGCGGAAGCCUGAACCAGCCAAGUAGCGUGCAGGAGGACGGCCCUACGGGUUGUAAACUGCUUUUAUGCGGGGAUAAAGUGAGGGACGCGUCCCUUUUUGCAGGUACCGCAUGAAUAAGGACCGGCUAAUUCCGUGCCAGCAGCCGCGGUAAUACGGAAGGUCCGGGCGUUAUCCGGAUUUAUUGGGUUUAAAGGGAGCGUAGGCCGGGGAUUAAGUGUGUUGUGAAAUGUAGGCGCCCAACGUCUGACUUGCAGCGCAUACUGGUUCCCUUGAGUACGCGCAACGCCGGCGGAAUUCGUCGUGUAGCGGUGAAAUGCUUAGAUAUGACGAAGAACCCCGAUUGCGAAGGCAGCCGGCGGGAGCGCAACUGACGCUGAAGCUCGAAGGUGCGGGUAUCGAACAGGAUUAGAUACCCUGGUAGUCCGCACGGUAAACGAUGGAUGCCCGCUGUCGGCGCCUUGCGCCGGCGGCCAAGCGAAAGCGUUAAGCAUCCCACCUGGGGAGUACGCCGGCAACGGUGAAACUCAAAGGAAUUGACGGGGGCCCGCACAAGCGGAGGAACAUGUGGUUUAAUUCGAUGAUACGCGAGGAACCUUACCCGGGCUUGAAUCGCAGGAGAACGAUACAGAGAUGUUGAGGUCCUUCGGGACUCCUGCGAAGGUGCUGCAUGGUUGUCGUCAGCUCGUGCCGUGAGGUGUCGGCUUAAGUGCCAUAACGAGCGCAACCCCUCUCCCCAGUUGCCAUCGGGUGAUGCCGGGCACUCCGGGGACACUGCCGCCGCAAGGUGCGAGGAAGGCGGGGAUGACGUCAAAUCAGCACGGCCCUUACGUCCGGGGCUACACACGUGUUACAAUGGCCGGCACAGAGUGCCGGUGCGGCGCGAGCCGCAUCCAAUCUUGAAAACCGGUCUCAGUUCGGACUGGGGUCUGCAACCCGACCCCACGAAGCUGGAUUCGCUAGUAAUCGCGCAUCAGCCACGGCGCGGUGAAUACGUUCCCGGGCCUUGUACACACCGCCCGUCAAGCCAUGAAAGCCGGGGGUGCCUGAAGUCCGUGACCGCGAGGAUCGGCCUAGGGCAAAACUGGUGAUUGGGGCUAAGUCGUAACAAGGUAGCCGUACCGGAAGGUGCGGCUGGAACACCUCCUUUCUGGAG